AUACGGAGGGUGCAAGCGUUAUCCGGAUUUAUUGGGUUUAAAGGGUGCGUAGGCGGUUUGAUAAGUCAGCGGUGAAAUAUUUCAGCUUAACUGGAAGGGUGCCGUUGAUACUGUCAGGCUUGAAUUUAGUUGCUGUGGGUGGAAUGUGUGGUGUAGCGGUGAAAUGCAUAGAUAUCACACAGAAUAUCGAUUGCGAAGGCAGCUCACAAAGCUAAAAUUAGACGCUGAUGCACGAAAGUGUGGGGAUC
rnacentral:rRNA from 1 species